AACUUUCAACAACGGAUCUCUUGGUUCUGGCAUCGAUGAAGAACGCAGCGAAAUGCGAUAAGUAAUGUGAAUUGCAGAAUUUAGUGAAUCAUCGAAUCUUUGAACGCACAUUGCGCCCCUCGGUAUUCCGGGGGGCAUGCCUGUUC
rnacentral:rRNA from 1 species